GAAAUGCGAUAAGUAAUGUGAAUUGCAGAAUUCAGUGAAUCAUCGAAUCUUUGAACGCACCUUGCACCCUUUGGUAUUCCGAAGGGUACGCCCGUUUGAGUGUCAUUGUAAUCUCACUACAACUCCUUUUUGUUGUAGGUGGACUUGGAUGUUGCCGUGUCACAACGGCUCGUCUGAAAUGCUUGAGUGUACCCUGCCGUGCAGCGUAUCGGUGUGAUAAACAUCUUCACCGUGUGGUCUUUAUUGACGCGUUUGCUUGUGGGCUCUAUGCUUCCAACCGUCCGCAAGGACAAUCUCUGACAAUUUGACCUCAAAUCGGGUGGGACUACCCGCUGAACUUAAGCAUAUCAAUAAGCGGAGGAAAAGAAACU
rnacentral:rRNA from 1 species